ACACACCCAACGUAGUGAAGAGCCGUAACCAUGGGCAUCGUCCGCAGCCGCCUGCAUAAGCGCAAGAUCACCGGUGGAAAGACCAAGAUCCACCGGAAGCGCAUGAAGGCCGAGCUGGGUCGCCUUCCCGCGAACACCCGCCUUGGCGCCCGCCGCGUGAGCCCUGUGCGUGCUCGCGGUGGCAACUUCAAGAUCCGUGCCCUGCGCCUGGACACCGGCAACUUUGCCUGGGCCUCCGAGGCCGUCGCGCACCGCGUGCGUCUUCUCGACGUCGUGUACAACGCCACCUCGAACGAGCUGGUGCGUACGAAGACGCUUGUGAAGAACUGCAUCGUCGCCGUGGAUGCCGCGCCGUUCAAGCGCUGGUACGCCAAGCACUACGGCAUCGACUUGGAUGCAGACAGGAAGACCACCAAGGCUGCCGCUGCUGCAGAGAAGAAGGGCAGGAAGUCCGUCCACGCCGCUGCUGACAAGUACGACGUGAACAAGGCCUCGCCCAAGCUUCAGCGCGAGUGGAUUCGCCGCCGCCGCAACCACAGGGUUGAGAAGGCAAUCGCCGAUCAGCUGCGCGAGGGCCGCGUGCUUGCGCGCAUAACGAGCCGCCCGGGCCAGUCCGGCCGUGCCGACGGUAUCCUGCUGGAGGGCGCCGAGCUCCAGUUCUAUCUGAAGCGCCUGGAGAAGAAGAAGAAGUAAGGCGAGCAUGUGCGCGUGUCAGUCAGCGACGGCGGGUCUUACGCUGCCGCCGCCGAUAACGAUACGCACCCCUGCCCCCCUCCCCCCCCCCACACACACACACCGCACACUUCUUUUUUUCACUCCCCCUCCCCCGUGGCGGCGUGCGGGAUUUGGGUCUGUCCUUUAUAUUUAUUCAUUUUUUGUUGGUUUUGUUUGUCCCCAUUAAUUUCUGCCAAAAGACACGGGAAACAGCACACAGCACGCCAUGCCUGGCAGGCGCGCAUCAUGGGCGGUGAUCACUGUCGCAUGUCCGCUUUCUACUCGCGAUGGCGUCUCGCGCGCCUCUGUUACCCUUUCCCCUCUCCUCACACCAUCUGUCCCCGCACCCUUCCGUCCGCGGUGCCGCACUGGAGGAGGGGGGAAGGAGAGGCAUCUCGCACUCAAGCACACGCCCUCUCCCUUUCGCUGCCCAUCCAUCAGUGAAAGGUGUGCUCAUUCAACCGCUUUUUUUUGUGUGCUUCGGUUGCGCCUCGCCGCUUGACCCUCCCCUUUUCCCUCUCCCUUUGCGCUGAGGCAUGGACCACGUAGAGGCAACGUGUCCUCCCAGCCCUCUCUUCGAUUCCGCCCACCCUUCCCCCGCCCCACUCGUCCUCUGCUGGCACCCCCUGCCUUUCUUUUCUACACACGUGAAG
rnacentral:misc_RNA from 1 species